rnacentral:rRNA from 1 species
GACGAACGCUGGCGGCGUGCCUAACACAUGCAAGUCGAACGGUGAAGCGCCUUCCUUUUUGGUGGGUGUGGAUGAGUGGCGAACGGGUGAGUAACACGUGAGUAACCUGCCCCCUUCUUCUGGAUAACCGCAUGAAAGUGUGGCUAAUACGGGAUAUUCUGGGUCUGUCGCAUGAUGGGUCUGGGAAGGUUGUUGUUUCGGUGGGGGAUGGGCCCGCGGCCUAUUCGCUUGUUGGUGGGGGGGUGGACUAACAAGGCGGUGACGGGUAGCCGGCCUGAGAGCGUGGACGGGCACACUGGAGCGGAGGCACGGCCAAGACUGGUACGAGAGACAGCCGAGAGGCAUACGGGACGAAGCGGGGGGGCCUGAUGCAGCGUCGGCGAGUGAGUGAUGGAGCCCUGCGGGUUGAAUACCUCAGGCGUCAGUAAAGCAGGACUGUCUCGUUUGUGAGGAGGUUGACGGUACCUGGAUAAGAAGCGCCGGCUAACUACGUG